GAUGAACGCUGGCGGCGUGCCUAAUACAUGCAAGUCGAGCGAACGGACGAGAAGCUUGCUUCUCUGAUGUUAGCGGCGGACGGGUGAGUAACACGUGGAUAACCUACCUAUAAGACUGGGAUAACUUCGGGAAACCGGGGCUAAUACCGGAUGAUAUUUUGAACCGCAUGGUUCAAAAGUGAAAGACGGUCUUGCUGUCACUUAUAGAUGGAUCCGCGCUGCAUUAGCUAGUUGGUAAGGUAACGGCUUACCAAGGCAACGAUGCAUAGCCGACCUGAGAGGGUGAUCGGCCACACGGGAACUGAGACACGGUCCAGACUCCUACGGGAGGCGGCAGUAGGGAAUCUUCCGCAAUGGGCGAAAGCCUGACGGAGCAACGCCGCGUGAGUGAUGAAGGUCUUCGGAUCGUAAAACUCUGUUAUUAGGGAAGAACAUAUGUGUAAGUAACUGUGCACAUCUUGACGGUACCUAAUCAGAAAGCCACGGCUAACUACGUG
rnacentral:rRNA from 1 species